rnacentral:rRNA from 1 species
AUUGAACGCUGGCGGCAGGCCUAACACAUGCAAGUCGAGCGGAUGAAGGGAGCUUGCUCCUGGAUUCAGCGGCGGACGGGUGAGUAAUGCCUAGGAAUCUGCCUGGUAGUGGGGGAUAACGUCCGGAAACGGGCGCUAAUACCGCAUACGUCCUGAGGGAGAAAGUGGGGGAUCUUCGGACAUCACGCUAUCAGAUGAGCCUAGGUCGGAUUAGCUAGUUGGUGGGGUAAAGGCCUACCAAGGCGACGAUCCGUAACUGGUCUGAGAGGAUGAUCAGUCACACUGGAACUGAGACACGGUCCAGACUCCUACGGGAGGCAGCAGUGGGGAAUAUUGGGCAAUGGGCGAAAGCCUGAUCCAGCCAUGCCGCGUGUGUGAAGAAGGUCUUCGGAUUGUAAAGCACUUUAAGUUGGGAGGAAGAGCAGUAUGUUAAUACCUUGCUGUUUUGACGUUACCAACAGAAUAAGCACCGGCUAACUUCGUG